UACGUAGGUGGCAAGCGUUGUCCGGAUUUACUGGGCGUAAAGGGCGCGUAGGCGGUACUUCAAGUCAGGCGUGAAAGCCCCGGGCUCAACCUGGGAACCGCGCUUGAGACUGGAGAACUAGAGUUCGGGAGAGGAUGGUGGAAUUCCCAGUGUAGAGGUGAAAUUCGUAGAUAUUGGGAAGAACACCGAUGGCGAAGGCAGCCAUCUGGACCGACACUGACGCUGAGGCGCGAAAGCGUGGGGAGCAAACAGG
rnacentral:rRNA from 1 species